UGGGGAAUUUUGGACAAUGGGCGCAAGCCUGAUCCAGCCAUGCCGCGUGCGGGAGGAAGGCCUUCGGGUUGUAAACCGCUUUUGUCAGGGAAGAAAUCUUCUGAGUUAAUACCUCGGGAGGAUGACGGUACCUGAAGAAUAAGCACCGGCUAACUACGUGCCAGCAGCCGCGGUAAUACGUAGGGUGCAAGCGUUAAUCGGAAUUACUGGGCGUAAAGCGUGCGCAGGCGGUUUUGUAAGACAGAGGUGAAAUCCCCGGGCUCAACCUGGGAACUGCCUUCGUGACUGCAAGGCUUGAGUGCGGCAGAGGGGGAUGGAAUUCCGCGUGUAGCAGUGAAAUGCGUAGAUAUGCGGAGGAACACCGAUGACGAAGGCAAUCCCCUGGGCCUGCACUGACGCUCAUGCACGAAAGCGUGGGGAGC
rnacentral:rRNA from 1 species